CUUCUUAGCAGCCUCAUCUCGUGUUGAGUCGUGCAGAUUCUCUGUUGAGGUUACUGGAGAUUUUUCAAUGUUCUUUGUUUUUUGACUGUUUAGGUGUGCUAUUUAUAUUGUCACUAGUAUCAUGACUCGGUUUUGUUGUCAAACACCUCGAGAUACCUGGUCUUCUGUCAACACUUUUAAGAUUUUUGGGUUUUUCCUUUUGCUGAUGGGAAUUGUCUUUUCCAGCGGACUUACUUUCCUGAGUACCAAGGUUCAAAUGUGAAUGUUCCGUGUCACUCUCUGACCUACUUCUACCCUUGGUAUUCAGGAGAG
rnacentral:lncRNA from 1 species